UCGCCUGUUUUACAAAAACAUGUCCUAUUGGUUUUAUUUUAGGUCUGACCUGCCCGUUGAUUAAUUAUUGAAAGGCCGCAGAAUUUUAACUGUGCAAAGGUAGCAUAAUCAUUAGUCUUUUAAUUGAAGGCUUGUAUGAAUGGUUGGACGAGAUAUUUUCUGUUUCAUAUUUAAUUAUUAGAAUUUUAUUUUUUAGUUAAAAAGCUAAGAUUUAUUUAAAAGACGAGAAGACCCUAUAGAUCUUUAUAAUUACUUUUUUAUUAAUUAUUGGGAUUAUUUAAAUUAAUAAUUUUUAUAUUAUUUUGUUGGGGUGACAUAGAAAUUUAAUUAACUUUCUUUAAUAUUUAUUUUACAUUUAUUUAUGAUUUAAUGAUCCUUUAUUUAAGAUUAUAAAAUUAAGUUACCUUAGGGAUAACAGCGUAAUUUUUUCUGAGAGUUCUUAUCGAUGAAAAAGAUUGCGACCUCGAUGUUGGAUUAAGAUAUAAUGUUGGGCGCAGCAGUUCAGUUUUAAAGUCUGUUCGACUUUUGAUUUCUUACAUGAUCUGAGUUCAAACCGGAGA
rnacentral:rRNA from 1 species